rnacentral:rRNA from 1 species
AAUCAACGCUGGCGGCGUGCCUAACACAUGCAAGUCGAACGCGAAAGCCCCGCAAGGGGUAAGUAGAGUGGCAAACGGGUGAGUAACACGUGGGUGACCUGCCUGAGAGUGGGGGAUAACGACCCGAAAGGGUCGCUAAUACCGCAUAACAUCCUGCGUUUGGAAACGCGGAGAUCAAAGCCGGGGAUCGCAAGACCUGGCGCUUACAGAGGGGCCCGCGGCCGAUUAGCUAGUUGGUAGGGUAACGGCCUACCAAGGCAACGAUCGGUA